AUCGGCAUAAAGGGACCCGUGUAAAAUCUAUAUAUUCAAGCCCCCAUGAAUUAUUUCGAUUCUAAUAGGUCAAAUACGGCAAUUCUUUUGGAUUGAAGCGCUCUAGGUGGAGGCAAAUAUUUGCCAUUCCCAGAAAUAAACGUACUAUUAAAUUGGCGUAAAAGAUCGGAGCAAACUGAAUUAUUGACAUGCUUUAACUAUUCAAAAUAAUGUAUAUAGAUAGUUUUGAAUUAA
rnacentral:lncRNA from 1 species